rnacentral:RNase_P_RNA from 1 species
CGGGCAAGCCGCUUUAUCGGGCUGACGAUUACUGUCAGUCAGGAAAGUCCGGGCAACACAGGGCACCGUGCUUCCUAGCGGGAAGAUCUUUGAAAGGGGAUAGCAACGUAACAGAAAAUAACCACUCCCGAUUUAUCGGGAGAACGGGUGAAAAGGUGCGGUAAAAGCGCACCGGUGAUGGUGGUAACAUCGUUAGCCGUACGUCUUACGGGUUGCAAAGCCAUGUAUAUCCAAAGUGUUUGCCGCUGUUGCGGUACAGCGAAACGGCCCGUUUUGCUCUCAACGCACAAGAGACUUUGGAGGGGUAGGCUGCAGGAUCACGGCAGUGAUGUCGUGACUAGAUAAAUGAUAAAGCUUUCCUGACGAUAAAUGUCAGGAUUGACAGGACCCGGCUUACAGGCUUGCCUUUUUU